UACGUAGGGUGCAAGCGUUAAUCGGAAUUACUGGGCGUAACGCGUGCGCAGGCGGUUUUGUAAGUCUGGCGUGAAAGCCCCGGGCUCAACCUGGGAAUUGCGAUGGAGACUGCAAGGCUUGAAUCUGGCAGAGGGGGGUAGAAUUCCACGUGUAGCAGUGAAAUGCGUAGAGAUGUGGAGGAACACCGAUGGCGAAGGCAGCCCCCUGGGUCAAGAUUGACGCUCAUGCACGAAAGCGUGGGGAGCAAACAGG
rnacentral:rRNA from 1 species